ACAAACGAGGGACCAAGUUCUGAAAAUGA
rnacentral:sRNA from 1 species